rnacentral:rRNA from 1 species
CCUACGGGGGGCUGCAGUGGGGAAUCUUGGACAAUGGGGGCAACCCUGAUCCAGCGACGCCGCGUGGGUGACGAAGGCCUUCGGGUUGUAAAGCCCUUUUCUCGGGGACGAUGAUGACGGUACCCGAGGAAUAAGCACCGGCUAACUCCGUGCCAGCAGCCGCGGUAAGACGGAGGGUGCUAGCGUUGUUCGGAAUUACUGGGCGUAAAGGGCGCGUAGGCGGCCUGGUCAGUCGGGUGUGAAAGCCCGGGGCUCAACCCCGGAACGGCACCCGA